CAUAGAGGUUGAACUAGUUUGCAGUCCCACCAACAGUGUAGAACCAGAAAAUGAGGCAGAACUAGCAAAGAAGAUUGAGAAGGAACAGCCAGUGAGACAGGAGAAGUAAGAAGAAUGAUGCCACAUAAACCACACGAAGAAACUAUUUCUUGGAGGGGAAAGUGAUCAACUGUGUUAAAUGCUUCUGGAGUCUUUCAAUACUUGCAUCUAAUAAACAUGUCAACUUUGAAGAUUAAUCAUGAAAAUUUUGGUUUAGAAGGGGCCCUUUGGAAUACAUUUGCCCCAGAUAUCUUCAUGGCUUGCUCCCUGUCAGAAUGUGUUCCAUGCCCUUCUUUUAGAUAGAGUCACACCAAGAAGAUCUUUGGAAUGGUACUGUCUGGAGCACUGGACUGGGCAGGGUGUGGUGCAGGGGCAAUGCCCCUGAAUAUCCAAGGAGCCAAGAGGAAACAAUCUGGACAGAAAGAAAGUUCAGAGACUUGUUUGGAAGCUCCUUUUGCAGAGCAAAAGCACUUUUUCCUUAAAUAUGUAUCCAGUGUGGCUUGGAGCAAUGCAGAUAGAAAUUAGGAGAUACUUUGGAUCACCUAAAGGCCGGCCCCUCCACUGGGGGUUUGGGUCCUCUUCUUCCGUGGGAUACCUCCUUACUCUGGUAUGAUGGACCCAGGGUUUCACUUCUGACAAUUUCAAUGAGGUGUGAGUUGUUAGAGUCACUUCAUAGUGUCCCUUCCCUUUCUCUGCUUCCAACUGGUGCGGCGACCUGAAGAGGCAAACUCAUGCAUGAUGGUGUAGGGCCUUACUUAUUUUGUGGGUUAUCUCCACUACAAAGGAGGCUCCAUUAUCACUCUUGCAAAAUGGCUCUGUGGGUGCUCAGACGGACUUAGUGUGCUCCUGGGUCAUGUUGACAAUGGGGCCAUAGGUCCAGAGACUGAGCCAACAGUUGGAAACCAGGGCAGCAACAUGGAGUCUCAGGACACAGACAGCUUGACCUUCCCUGUCAGAGCCUUGUCUGCUUCCAUCAGCUUCCAGGUCCCUUCUUGGCCUGAGAUUUCUGCAGCCAGCAUGCCAUUGAGGAAGACCCCGGCUCCUCCAACAGCAUGCCAUUCUCCAUCUGCUUGGCCUCUUUCCCUGGACUGCUGAUGCCUGUCAUCAUGCUGUACUCCAAGGCCUGUUCCAUGCUGGUGUAUGUGCUCAGCAACUCAGUGAUGGCCCUGUCCCAGGCCAGCAGCUCCUGGUAGGAGCCCAUCUUGGAACGUCAGACACUCUCUCCAUUUGGGUAGGACAAGCCUCUACUUCGCCUGAAAAGGUUCAACACAGGCUGCAACUUCACCCAUUGCAGCAGGAACCACUAUCUAAUGAAUGAUGGACUUCAGAAUGAAAUUCCUCAAGUGAAAUGCAUGGGAUUGAGUAAAGUCCACUGCUUUUCUAAUUUAGCAAAUCUUUAGGUGGCAGGAUAAGCCAUUUUUCAGGUGGGUGGAAGCAUCAUAAUGAAAAGUGAAUCAUUUGACCCAUCACUAAAAUGCAGCCACCCCUAAGUUGUGAAAUGGCAGCUGAAUCAGCUGCUUACAGCAUAAACUACAGUUGAAUUUGUGGAAUAGAAGAUGUGGGUAUAUUGCGACUGACACUUUCCAAGAGCUUCCUCAGAGCAACAUUACAGAACAUGUAAAUAAGGAUUCAGAGACAAGGGACAUACAAUAUCCUGUCCUCUCACUCCCCAGGAGAUAAUAGGGAGAAAGAGGUGGAGCUGCAGCUCACUGGGUCACUGUCCCAGACCCCACAUGGACUGCAUGUGAACAUCAUCCAUCACACAGAAGCCGUGGCUUUUAAAGAAAGGGCUGCAGAUUAUUACUCUAAGGGAAUACAAGGUCAACCAUGGACAGAAUGGCUCAGACGCGGCACUUUACCUGUGAUCCCAGAAUGACAUCUUCAGCAGGGACUGGUAGAUGGACUACUGAUAAACAUCUCCUUUGAUUCUCUCAACUAGCUUCUGAGGUGGACAUUAUUUCUCCACUCUAAGAAUGAGGAAACUGACUAAUUCAAGGAGUUAAAGGACUAAUGUGAAGAGCACACGCCCACAGAUAAGGGCAGGAGCACUGCUCAGAGACAGCCUGAUCGUCUGUGGAAUGGAUGAAACAAAGAGAAGGCGCAGUUAUGUCUACCUCCCCCCGAUCGGCUCCACGGAGAACCCAGCAGCACUGUGCUCAUCCCACACCUGCCUCUAGACCCAACACGACUUUUCCACAGGGCUGUUGUGAGGGUCCAAAGGAACAAACGAUGCUUUGUAAAGAGAAACCUUGCCUGUCACUGAAGAGAUUCAGAGAAGUGCUUGGGCUGGUCGCCUCUCAGAAAGCCUAGCCCUGGGAUUCGUUUGUUGUUUAUUCAUUAAUAAAGCUGAAAACAAGUACA